rnacentral:lncRNA from 1 species
UGAAUUUGAGGAGUUGUUUUCAUUUUGAGUUUUCUUUGUAGUAUUUUUGUUUUGGAAAAAUUUUGAUGUACUUUUGGGUGACUCUAGUUCACCAAAACUUUGUUUUUUGUUAGUUGUUUUGAUAAUUGCAUGAAUACUAUUUGAGAUUUAAGUGUGUUACAAUCAAAUUGGUUUACCAACAUUUUUUUGUUUAAUUGUUC